AAAGCGUGCGCAGGCGGUUAUAUAAGACAGAUGUGAAAUCCCCGGGCUCAACCUGGGACCUGCAUUUGUGACUGUAUAGCUAGAGUACGGUAGAGGGGGAUGGAAUUCCGCGUGUAGCAGUGAAAUGCGUAGAUAUGCGGAGGAACACAGAUGGCGAAGGCAAUCCCCUGGACCUGUACUGACGCUCAUGCACGAAAGCGUGGGGAGCAAACAGGAUUAGAUACCCCUGU
rnacentral:rRNA from 1 species